rfam:Schistosoma curassoni strain Dakar, Senegal genome assembly, scaffold: SCTD_scaffold0001523
AUCCAGCUGACAAGCCCUAAAUAGGACGAAACGCGCGUCCUGGAU